rnacentral:rRNA from 1 species
CCUACGGGAGGCAGCAGUAGGGAAUAUUGCUCAAUGGGGGAAACCCUGAAGCAGCAACGCCGCGUGGGUGAAGAAGGUCUUCGGAUCGUAAAACCCUGUUGUUAGAGAAGAAAGUGCGUGAGAGUAACUGUUCACGUUUCGACGGUAUCUAACCAGUAAGCCACGGCUAACUACGUGCCAGCAGCCGCGGUAAUACUUAGGUGGCAAGCGUUAUCCGGAUUUAUUGGGCGUAAAGGGAACGCAGGCGGUUUUUUAAGGCUGAUGUGAAAGCCUUGGGCUUAACCGGAGUAGUGCAUUGGAAACUGGGAGACUUGAGUGCAGAAGAGGAGAGUGGAAGUCCAUGUGUAGCGGUGAAAUGCGUAGAUAGAUGGAAGAACACCAGUGGCGAAAGCGGCUCUCUGGUCUGUAACUGACGCUGAGGUUCGAAAGCGUGGGUAGCAAACAGGAUUAGAUACCCCAGUAGUC